rnacentral:rRNA from 1 species
UACGGAGGAUGCGAGCGUUAUCCGGAUUUAUUGGGUUUAAAGGGUGCGUAGGCGGACGCUUAAGUCAGCGGUAAAAUUGCGGGGCUCAACCUCGUCGAGCCGUUGAAACUGGGCGCCUUGAGUGGGCGAGAAGUACGCGGAAUGCGUGGUGUAGCGGUGAAAUGCAUAGAUAUCACGCAGAACUCCGAUUGCGAAGGCAGCGUACCGGCGCCCUACUGACGCUGAAGCACGAAGGCGUGGGUAUCGAACAGG